rnacentral:rRNA from 1 species
GAUGAACGCUGGCGGCGUGCCUAAUACAUGCAAGUCGAGCGAACGGACGAGAAGCUUGCUUCUCUGAUGUUAGCGGCGGACGGGUGAGUAACACGUGGAUAACCUACCUAUAAGACUGGGAUAACUUCGGGAAACCGGAGCUAAUACCGGAUAAUAUUUUGAACCGCAUGGUUCAAAAGUGAAAGACGGUCUUGCUGUCACUUAUAGAUGGAUCCGCGCUGCAUUAGCUAGUUGGUAAGGUAACGGCUUACCAAGGCAACGAUGCAUAGCCGACCUGAGAGGGUGAUCGGCCACACUGGAACUGAGACACGGUCCAGACUCCUACGGGAGGCAGCAGUAGGGAAUCUUCCGCAAUGGGCGAAAGCCUGACGGAGCAACGCCGCGUGAGUGAUGAAGGCCUCCGGAUCGUAAAACUCUGUUAUUAGGGAAGAACAUAUGUGUAAGUAACUGUGCACAUCUUGACGGUACCUAAUCAGAAAGCCACGGCUAACUACGUG